rnacentral:misc_RNA from 1 species
GCCACAUGUACUUAUUUACAUGUACAACUUAUUAAUUUACAUGUGCUGUUGAUAUAUAUUGAAGGGCUAUUCUCUGUGUUAAUUCAAUUCCUGAUAGUUUGAUAAAUGUGGAUGUCAGUUGUCUAUCUUGUCAGUGUUAUGGCUCUCAUGAAUAAAUGUAUACAAUUAAUAAUCGAUUUUACCGUUUCACACAUUUUUGAAUAAUUUUUUUAAUUAUUUCAGUUUUCACAAUCUCAUAUGUGAUCGUACGAUAUUUCUGUUGUUGGUUUAAAUAUGUAAAUUGAUAAUAAAAAAUUAAUGUCAUCAGUUUCAUUCUUAUAUGAUUCAUAUUUUGAAUAAAAGAUACUUGCUUUGUUUCAGUUAAAGUACUAUUAUAUAUAACUGCGCGUUGAUUGAUUUAGGUAAAACUAAAUCCUCAAUUGCGCAUGCAGCUGUCUUUUCUGUUUUUAAAAUUUCAUUAAAAUUAAAUGAGUAAUGUCACAAAUGCAAAUCAUGAAAACGCGGCGUAAAGCGACAAAUACUACACUCUAAAUUAAUACCGGUUUGUUUUUUUGAUAUUUGACGAUUUUAUUUAAUUUCAUAACAAAGAUUAAGGCCUUACGCUUUAUUCACACUUAAAUGAAAUUAUAUAAGUUUCUCUGUAAACCAAUGUGGGCAAAAUAUAUCAUUUGUUUAAGACAGAUCUAGAAUUAACUCUCUUAUUCUUUUCAAAAUUUGCCAUAUAUUGUAGAUUCCUUAUUUUACGCGAGUACUUAAUUCCGCGAUUCAACUGCUUUUCAUCAAAUCGCAAGAAUAUUAAUUUGCGAAGUCCGAAUUUUCAUCAUAAUGUUUCAUUCUUCCGAAAAAAAAAAUCAAGAGUUUGAAAUCCGCGAGAUGUGCUUCUCGCGAUUUUACGCAGAUAUUAAUUCCUCGCUUUUAAUUAAUUAGAUAUUUACUGUAUUACGAACUCAAGUUUCAAUAUUUUCUCUUACAUUGCAAUUCGUGCACGUGACCUUCGUAAGGCCCCGGAAUUGCUCCGCAGGGGGUCAUUGUUAGAACAAUGUAGAAUCUGCACUAAAUAAGAAGCUUUAAUGUAUACAUGAUGAUUUUGAAUAAAUAUUAUGUAAAAAAAUUACCGUGUCAUCGACUUCACCAAUGCAUAUGCCAAUGAACAAUGUAUCGUUUUUUUUCUGGAAUUUUUCAUGAAAAGUACUGCGCAAACUUUAAAAAAUAAAGGUUAUGUACAUG